AUUCAUGGUUAAUUCAUCAUGACUGUAUUGUAUUUGAUGAUGUUAGUGAUGCCAACACUUUGUUGAAGCCUGUGACUCUCAUGCCCCUGGAAGUGACCUUCAACCUAUCUACGCAGCAAUAGCAUGAGGAUGUCCUUGCUACCGUAACAGCGCAUCCACUACCUGAUGAUGACGACGCUCUGAUCGAGUAGAGAGAUCAUAAGUUGAUUUUGCUCUGUACAAGAGUUUUCUACUUUUAGGUGAAAGGCUUUAUAUUCAGGCUGGAAUGUUUUCCUUGGAUCAAGAACUAUUGUGUGACAUUGAUCUACAUCUUUGCCAUGGAUUUCUUGGCCACAUUGAUAUGUUACUUACUGGUUCAUUAGUAUUAUUAUGCAUCCCAGCUUACUAUG